rnacentral:rRNA from 1 species
UUGGAGGGCAAGUCUGGUGCCAGCAGCCGCGGUAAUUCCAGCUCCAAUAGCGUAUAUUAAAGUUGUUGCAGUUAAAAAGCUCGUAGUUGAACUUCGGGGUUUACCCAUUGGUCAGGCUUAAUUGUCUGCACUGGUGAGAUGAAUCUCUACCUUCUGAGGAACUUUCAUGCCAUUUAUUUGGUGUGAUGGGAAAUCAGGACUGUUACUUUGAAAAAAUUAGAGUGUUUAAAGCAGGCUAACGUCUGAAUACAUUAGCAUGGAAUAAUGAAAUAGGACGGACUGAUUCUAUUUCGUUGGUUUCUAGGAUCACCGUAAUGAUUAAUAGGGAUAGUUGGGGGCAUUAGUAUUCAAUUGUCAGAGGUGAAAUUCUUGGAUUUAUUGAAGACUAACUACUGCGAAAGCAUUUGCCAAGGAUGUUUUCAUUAAUCAAGAACGAAAGUUAGGGGAUCGAAGACGAUCAGAUACCGUCGUAGUCUUAACCACAAACUAUGCCGACUAGGGAUCGGACGAAGUUAAUUUUAUAAUGACGCGUUCGGCGCCUUACGGAAAC